UACGUAGGGGGCAAGCGUUGUCCGGAAUUAUUGGGCGUAAAGAGCGUGUAGGCGGCCAGGUAGGUCCGUUGUGAAAACUCGAGGCUUAACCUCGAGACGUCGAUGGAAACCAUCUGGCUAGAGUCCGGAAGAGGAGAGUGGAAUUCCUGGUGUAGCGGUGAAAUGCGCAGAUAUCAGGAAGAACACCCGUGGCGAAGGCGGCUCUCUGGGACGUGACUGACGCUGAGACGCGAAAGCGUGGGGAGCAAACAGG
rnacentral:rRNA from 1 species